CGCUUCGUCAUUUUUUCUUGGAGGGCCUUAAGCCCGUGUUUGAGUUAACGCAGAAUAUCUUAUCCUAAAAACAUCAGUAGUGUUAUUACUGAUGAAUUGAUUAGAAUUUAUCAGACGUAAGUGACAGCUGGAAAAUUUGUCUCGAAUUAAUUGCGAUCUCUUGUACCAAGUGGACAUCCCACCGUAGUAUGAAAUAUUAACAAUAAUAUUUACUGUAGUUUGUAUACCAGAGAAGUCAAGGUCUUUGGCUAUAUAUAGAAUGAGAACUAUGUCUAUGCUAGCGCUGUCUGAAAGUUCUUUUGAUCAGUGAUGCUCUGAAAAUUUUGUUGAAAGAAUGCUAGCCACCGUAAUAUAAAAGUAAAAAGUACAGUAAGGGUCAUUCCAAUAGACCAAAAAUUGGAGAGGAGUAUAGCGCUAAUUAUCUUUGAAACUAAUUAACAGUAGUCUUGGAAAAUAUGAGAUUAUGCACAAAUAUGGGACAAAUGCUUUCACGUCUGUAUAGCAAAGGUUUUGAGGAAUAAUCGACAAGGAUGUCCUCGGUUUUAUAUUUGCAUCUAAAGUAAUCUAAAUCGUAGUAAAACUGGUGUGAACCUUCAAGGAAAGUUCUAUCAUAGUAUUUAUGAUAAAAUUAUACUAGCUGCAAGGUGCAGCAUUUCUGUGCAAGGAUUGGUCUUUAUUCCAGUAAAAAUGAGCCCGUUAAAAUAAACGUCAGUUUCUAUUUUAGAACAGGUAUUAAGUUAUAAAUGUAUGGAAUAGUUUCUAGUUGGUGAUACAAUCAUGAAACACUGUUUCAUUAUUUAGUUCAUAAAGGUGGUCUCGUAACCGCAAUUGGAAAGAUAAAAGCAAUUUGUGGCGGUUAACGUUAUGACAGCUCCGAAUCGUAACGAAAAUUAACGAUUACGUUAUGAACCUAAGAAUUAAUCCGUCAUACGAGCAGCUACGAAUAGGAAACCUAAUUAAAUGAAAUUGAAACAAAUCAUUUCACUCUUCGACUUGAUAACGAAAUUUGAUUUCACACACCGUUUAAUCAGGGGAAAACACCACUUGCUUGUUACAAUAAUUUAAAUUAAAGAAAACAACUUUUCCCCAUCACACAACUGCACACAACCAGUGAGGCGGCCAUAAGCAGCCCGUAGGGCUGUGUUAUGUGUAUUUGAUGUGUAUCAAAGAUGACUCGAUAUCGGCUGCUUUGCUCGCGUAACAUGCGCAUGUGCCGUUUGAUGUUUCAUCCUACUUACCAACCGAUUCGUAAUUCUCAUAACUUGGUGUCGGUAGAAACGGGAUUCAAAUUCAACGGAACCUGAACGUACGAUCUAUUUCCGUUCUACGCACCAACAAUCGGUAACAUAGUAGAGCUAGAUCGUCUCAAAAUUGACAUACUUUUUUAUCGAAUCGAUUAAAUGUAUUAUCAUGUAUUAUGUAUAAUGUGCUUUAUC